GCCCCAAUGGCUCAGGGGUAGAGCGUCGCACUAGUAUUCCAGCAGUCUAUGCGAAGGUCCGUCGUUCAAAUCGGCGUUGGGGCA